AUUAUGUGAAUAUUGAAUAUUGGUAAUAUUUGUGAUGGAUUCUUAAAAUCUUGAUUUUUGUCAAUUAGUCAAACAAUUAGUGAUGAUUUUCUCGUGUUCUACCAAUUUGUAAAAAAUUGUAAUUAUUUCCUUAUCAAUUAGUAUUUAAAUGUCACUUGUGGUUUACUUUAGUGUGAAAUGUCAAUGGAGAGAUUCUUUAAAAAAAAAUAUUUCGUAGAAAAUGUUGAUGAGGAGAUAUUGAAUAAAAUUGAUUUUUGAUGUUGCACAACUUGCUACAAAUCCUAGAAUAAGAAAGAAAAUGAUAAUCUUGUUAGUGUUGUCACUAUGUCAUUUUUAACAUUACUGUAAUAUCAUUAAAUCCAUAAUCAAAAAGUCCGACAUUGACUAAAUUUUGCCCGCACUGGACAAAAUUCUUGGCUUCGCCUCUGAACCCAAAUUCUAACACUCCCAUAUCCAUUCCAUGCCAUCCUAACUUUAUUUUCAUUUUCAUCUUCAUCUUCUCCUCCUCCUCGACAUUCAAGACUAUGUCGCCACUCUCUUCUUUCUCCCAAGCCCAUUACUUCUCCUUUGCUUGCAAUUGCCCUUUUCACUUUGGCAUUGUAGAUUCUGACGAAAAUGCUGUAUCGAUAACAACCAAUAUCGAUCGCACAGAAUUGAAGAACUGUAAUACAAUAACAAUGUUUAACCUCUAACCGUAAACACCCAUGACAUUAUGUGAGAACUCAAUUGGGCAAUCGGUGUGAAUGCUGUGCAGAAAUUGCAGCCCCUUUCUCUCUCUCCAUUCACACUACCUCCCUUUCAAUAAAGUUAGACAGCAGCACAAAUCAAAGAUACCUACUAAAGUCGACCAAAAAGGCGUGCUGGUGCAAAAAACCAUUGAAAAAUUCAAUUGUUUGAUUUCAGUUUUGUAUGUAGACUAAAGAAUAUGUGAAUAUGUGAAUCAAUCAAGAAUCACAAUGACUCUAUAUUCUUGUAUUUGAGCAUCAUUUGAUGAAAUUAUUGAUACAAGUGGUUUAAUGGAUUAUUCCAUUUGUUAUUGGCAAUGAACCUGAUUCCCAUGGCGGCUUGUUUUUAUCAUAUAUCCUAUUGGAUUGUGAAUGGAGAUAGAGUGGGAUAGAUCAGAAGCGUAGGCAAGUGUUGACGAAUCUGAGAAGACACGUCGAAAAGCUCG
rnacentral:lncRNA from 1 species